rnacentral:rRNA from 1 species
CCUACGGGCGGCUGCAGUAGGGAAUUUUGCGCAAUGGGCGAAAGCCUGACGCAGCAACGCCGCGUGAUCGAGACGCCCUUCGGGGUGUAAAGAUCUGUCAGUGGGGACGAAACUUGACGGUACCCACAGAGGAAGCACCGGCUAACUCCGUGCCAGCAGCCGCGGUAAUACGGGGGGUGCAAGCGUUGUCCGGAGUCACUGGGGGUAAAGAGUUCGUAGGCGGCACGGAAAGUCUGGUGUGAAAGGCAGAGGCUCAACCUCGGAACGGCACUGGAUACUGGCGUGCUAGAGGGCGGGAGAGGCAGACGGAAGUACGAGGGGAGCGGGGAAAUGCGUAGAGAGUAGGAGGAAGACAAGUGGCGAAGGCGGGCGGCUGGACAGUAACUGAAGCGGAGGUGCGAAAGCGGGGGGAGCAAACAGGAGGAGAGA